rnacentral:misc_RNA from 1 species
UGCUGCUCCCAAGAAGGAGGAGA